UACAGAGGUCCCAGGCGUUGUUCGGAUUCACUGGGCGUAAAGGGUGCGUAGGUGGUCGGGUAAGUCUGAUGUGAAAUCUCCGAGCUUAACUCGGAAACUGCAUCGGAUACUAUUCGGCUCGAGGGUUGGAGGGGGGACUGGAAUGCUUGGUGUAGCAGUGAAAUGCGUAGAUAUCGAGAGGAACACCUGCGGCGAAGGCGGGUUGCUGGGCUGACACUGACGCUGAUGCGCGAAAGCCAGGGGAGCGAACGGG
rnacentral:rRNA from 1 species